rnacentral:rRNA from 1 species
GUGGGGAAUAUUGGGCAAUGGGCGAAAGCCUGACCCAGCAACGCCGCGUGAAGGAAGAAGGUUUUCGGAUCGUAAACUUCUAUCCUUGGUGAAGAUAAUGACGGUAGCCAAGAAGGAAGCCCCGGCUAACUACGUGCCAGCAGCCGCGGUAAUACGUAGGGGGCAAGCGUUGUCCGGAAUGAUUGGGCGUAAAGGGCGCGUAGGCGGCCCGGUAAGUCUGAAGUGAAAGUCCUGCUUUUAAGGUGGGAAUUGCUUUGGUUACUGUCGGGCUUGAGUGCAGGAGAGGUAAGCGGAAUUCCCGGUGUAGCGGUGAAAUGCGUAGAGAUCGGGAGGAACACCAGUGGCGAAGGCGGCUUACUGGACUGUAACUGACGCUGAGGCGCGAAAGUGUGGGGAGCAAACAGGAUUAGAAACCCGAGUAGUCC